rnacentral:lncRNA from 1 species
CUUAAUGCUAGGUUCUUGGGUGAAAAGGUUCUUUGUAGAGCAGAAAGUAAGGUUCGCUUUUCCAGCGCUGAUAGUCCGGCAACUCCGGGCAAGAGAGCUUUAGAGUGUCUGUUGCAGGGCAGAGCUUUCGGAACAACGCUAAUGCCACAUUUUUUUGCAGUAAAACUCAAGGGGUCCCCAGCACACACACACCCCCCAGCAUCAUCCCACCUUGCCUUCCUGUCUGCAGGGACUCAAACAAAAAUGCAGCCUUGGUGUUUUUGAGUCCCUACAGGAUUACUCAGGUCUAAUACCAUAAUGAAAGUAAAUAGUCUACCUAAGAAAACCUGCACUUAGGAAACAGGAAAAUCAGGCAGUUGUAUGUCAAUCCUUGGUUUUCCUGUCCUCCUCCCUCUGAGCUCGUUUACGUGUGGGGGCGGGGCUGCAACCUUGACAACUAAUAUCACUAGGCCCAUCCCACAGCAGAUUUAUCUGUGUCCUUCACCAGAGAUCUGGAGAGCUGAAGCCCAGAUAGGAUCCCAGAGUGGGCAUGCCCGGCGACGCCCAGCGGCGCGUAAGACGUGCCAGUGAAAUUGGGCGGUGGGUUCGUUCGCCGGCCAAUCAGGAAAGAGCAGGCAGACGGGAACGCAGGAUGCGCAGACGCUUCAUAGAAGUUUACCCCAGCUUCCGGGUCUAUUCGUCCCUUCAGCUUUCUCGGGUAAGAUGUCGGUUGUUGAGUGGCCUUGUUCCCAGCCUCCAAGUCCCGAGAACAGAGAACUUAAACUCCAGAACCACCGCUCGCCGUGGCUCAAGACUUGGAGCAGAGACUUUGGCACUAGGCAGAACUGCUCUUGUAGAGAAAAUUGUUAGUUACCGAAGGAAG